rnacentral:rRNA from 1 species
UUUGAAGUCUUUUAUGACUGAGUGGCGGACGGGUGAGUAACGCGUGGGUAACCUGCCUCAUACAGGGGGAUAGCAGCUGGAAACGGCUGGUAAUACCGCAUAAGCGCACAGGAUUGCAUGAUCCAGUGUGAAAAACUCCGGUGGUAUAAGAUGGACCCGCGUCUGAUUAGCUAGUUGGUGAGAUAACAGCCCACCAAGGCGACGAUCAGUAGCCGACCUGAGAGGGUGACCGGCCACAUUGGGACUGAGAUACGGCCCAGACUCC